rnacentral:rRNA from 1 species
AGUCGGACGGGAUUGAGGAGCUUGCUUCUCAUGAGAGUGGCGCACGGGUGCGUAACACGUAUGUAACCUACCUUGUUCAGGGGGAUAGCCUCUCGAAAGAGAGAUUAACACCGCAUAAAAUCAAUUUAUGGCAUCAUAGAAUGAUCAAAUAUUUAUAGGAACAAGAUGGGCAUGCGGAACAUUAGCUAGUUGGUAAGGUAACGGCUUACCAAGGCUACGAUGUUUAGGGGAUCUGAGAGGAUGACCCCCCACACUGGUACUGAGACACGGACCAGACUCCUACGGGAGGCAGCAGUAAGGAAUAUUGGUCAAUGGACGCAAGUCUGAACCAGCCAUGCCGCGUGCAGGAAGACGGCCCUACGGGUUGUAAACUGCUUUUGUACCGGAAUAAACCUUUUCACGUGUGAGAAGCUGAAUGUACGGUAAGAAUAAGGAUCGGCUAACUCCGUGCCAGCAGCCGCGGUAAUACGGAGGAUCCAAGCGUUAUCCGGAUUUAUUGGGUUUAAAGGGUGCGUAGGUGGCCUAUUAAGUCAGGGGUGAAAGACGGUAGCUUAACUAUCGCAGUGCCUUUGAUACUGAUGGGCUUGAAUACACUUGAGGUAGGCGGAAUGUGACAAGUAGCGGUGAAAUGCAUAGAUAUGUCACAGAACACCAAUUGCGAAGGCAGCUUACUAAAGUGUUAUUGACACUGAGGCACGAAAGCGUGGGGAUCAAACAGGAUUAGAUACCCUGGUAGUCCACGCCCUAAACGAUGAAUACUCGAUGUUGGCGAUAUACGGUCAGCGUCUAAGCGAAAGCGUUAAGUAUUCCACCUGGGGAGUACGCCCGCAAGGGUGAAACUCAAAGG